rnacentral:lncRNA from 1 species
UCAUAUUGGAUCGAUUCCUAACUUGUUUCAAUGGAUGAUGUAUUAAGUACAGAGAUUGAUUAUCCUAUUUCUCUACUUAAUCAAUGUUUCUUUCUACAAGACAAUAUAUACACAAAAGAUGUAUUUACGGAAACAAAAUCGAUAGAGACAAAAAUUAGAAAAUCUGUUAAUAACAUUUCAUCACCAUCCAAUUCAGAUAAACCCCAAUAAAAUCAGUUAAAAGCUUUUUGAUGGAAGAAAGCUAACCCCUAAGAAAAUAUUAUAUAACGAACCCAAAUAUACUAAUCUUAAAUAAUUGGAAUCGAUUAAAAUUUUCAAUUAUUUCUUAUCCCUCUUUGAAAUUGAAGAAAGAGAGGAUGAAAUUAAUUCAGAUCAAACAAUUCAAAUUCAAAAAAGCUAUGGAGGAUUACCACCUGCAUCGUCGAGGAAGAAGAUUGGCCAGGCAUAGAUCUGAAUUUUGUAAGGUGAUGGAGAAGCAAUGGACAUCAAUGGUGAGUUUAGAGGCAAUAGAUUCCAUGCCAUUAGAGAAAGAGAAAGAGAGAGAAAUAAUCGCACAUUUCUGAGAUCGAUUGAUAUUGAUGAAUUCUCCUCAAUUAGAUUGAAGGUACAAGGAGAAGAAACUCAAUUAGAUUGAAGGAUAAAACAGUCAUCCAUAUAAUAUAAAAGUA